UUGGGUAGGGGAGCGUUCUGUAAGCCUGUGAAGGUGUACUGUGAGGUAUGCUGGAGGUAUCAGAAGUGCGAAUGCUGACAUAAGUAACGAUAAAGCGGGUGAAAAGCCCGCUCGCCGGAAGACCAAGGGUUCCUGUCCAACGUUAAUCGGGGCAGGGUGAGUCGACCCCUAAGGCGAGGCCGAAAGGCGUAGUCGAUGGGAAACAGGUUAAUAUUCCUGUACUUGGUGUUACUGCGAAGGGGGGACGGAGAAGGCUAUGUUGGCCGGGCGACGGUUGUCCCGGUUUAAGCGUGUAGGCUGGUUUUCCAGGCAAAUCCGGAAAAUCAAGGCUGAGGCGUGAUGACGAGGCACUACGGUGCUGAAGCAACAAAUGCCCUGCUUCCAGGAAAAGCCUCUAAGCAUCAGGUAACAUCAAAUCGUACCCCAAACCGACACAGGUGGUCAGGUAGAGAAUACCAAGGCGCUUGAGAGAACUCGGGUGAAGGAACUAGGCAAAAUGGUGCCGUAACUUCGGGAGAAGG
rnacentral:rRNA from 1 species